rnacentral:rRNA from 1 species
UCUNGGCAAAUUAUCCUCAUAAGUUUGACAAUAAGAGGAACCCCAUGCCUUUGGCAGCGGGUGUCACAAAAUCGGAGGCCACGACUGUUUACUAAAAACACAAUUCAGAGCAAUGAUGAAAAUCAUAGUAUUCUGGAUGAAAUUUGCUCGAUGCCAUUAACAUAAAAGAGGUAAUGGGAAACUGUUACUAAUUGAAAGUCUGGUUAAUAGCGGUCUUAACUAUGAGGAUCCUAAGGUAGCAAAAUCAGUUGGCCAUUAAAUGUGGUCUGGUAUCAAUAGUGUAACGAUGGUCUCAC